AAUCCCGGAAGGGCUUGGGCAAUGACAGCCUGGGUUGCCUAGAAGCCCGAAGGUGGACCAGGGGUAGAUAUGGUUGAGUCCUUUAAUCCAGAGCAAGCCGGGGAUCCCUAAAGCGACCAGGGUGGAUCGGGAGCCACAGGUGCCUCGGUGACAUACCGGAACAAAGUGGAGAAUUACAAGGCGCGGGGUGAGCGACGCGCGAAGAUCCGACUCACCGUGCGGAGCUCCUGGGUUCGGUCCUUCAUGCUCCCGGGAGUGGCAGUAGGCGCCGGCUGCAACCGAAUCAUGAUGUAGAACUCUCAGCUCCUUCUCCAGCACCACAUCUGCCUGGA